rnacentral:rRNA from 1 species
UACGUAGGAUCCAAGCGUUGUCCGGAUUUACUGGGUGUAAAGGGUGCGCAGGCGGACUGGUUAGUCUGGGGUGAAAUCUCAUCGCUUAACGGUGAAACUGCCUUAGAUACUGCCAGUCUUGAAUCAGCGAGAGGUUCGUGGAAUUCCGAGUGUAGCAGUGAAAUGUGUAGAUAUUCGGAAGAACACCAGUGGCGAAGGCAGCGAACUGGCGCUCGAAUUGACGCUCAGGCACGAAAGCAUGGGGAUCAAACAGG